GAUGAACGCUGGCGGCGUGCCUAAUACAUGCAAGUCGAGCGAACAGAUAAGAAGCUUGCUCCUUUGACGUUAGCGGCGGACGGGUGAGUUACACGUGGAUAACCUACCUAUAAGACUGGGAUAACUUCGGGAAACCGGAGCUAAUACCGGAUAAUAUAUUGAACCGCAUGGUUCAAUAGUGAAAGGCGGCUUUGCUGUCACUUAUAGAUGGAUCCGCGCUGUAUUAGCUAGUUGGUAAGGUAACGGCUUACCAAGGCAACGAUGCGUAGCCGACCUGAGAGGGUGAUCGGCCACACUGGAACUGAGACACGGUCCAGACUCCUACGGGAGGCAGCAGUAGGGAAUCUUCCGCAAUGGGCGAAAGCCUGACGGAGCAACGCCGCGUGAGUGAUGAAGGUCUUCGGAUCGUAAAACUCUGUUAUUAGGGAAGAACAAAUGUGUAAGUAACUGUGCACAUCUUGACGGUACCUAAUCAGAAAGCCACGGCUAACUACGUG
rnacentral:rRNA from 1 species